CACGUAGGGGGCAAGCGUUGUCCGGAUUCAUUGGGCGUAAAGAGCUCGUAGGCGGUUCGAUAAGUCGGGUGUGAAACCUCCAGGCUCAACCUGGAGACGCCACCCGAUACUGUCGUGACUAGAGUCCAGUAGGGGAGCGUGGAAUUCCUGGUGUAGCGGUGAAAUGCGCAGAUAUCAAGAGGAACACCUGCGGCGAAGGCGGGUUGCUGGGCUGACACUGACGCUGAGGCGCGAAAGCUAGGGGAGCGAACGGG
rnacentral:rRNA from 1 species